rnacentral:rRNA from 1 species
UACGUAGGGUGCGAGCGUUGUCCGGAAUUAUUGGGCGUAAAGAGCUUGUAGGCGGUCUGUCGCGUCUGCUGUGAAAAUCCGGGGCUCAACCCCGGACUUGCAGUGGGUACGGGCAGACUAGAGUGUGGUAGGGGAGACUGGAAUUCCUGGUGUAGCGGUGAAAUGCGCAGAUAUCAGGAGGAACACCGGUGGCGAAGGCGGGUCUCUGGGCCGAUACUGACGCUGGAGGAGCGAAAGCGUGGGGAGCGAACAGG